UACGAAGGGGCUAGCGUUGCUCGGAAUCACUGGGCGUAAAGGGUGCGUAGGCGGGUCUUUAAGUCAGGGGUGAAAUCCUGGAGCUCAACUCCAGAACUGCCUUUGAUACUGAAGAUCUUGAGUUCGGGGAGAGGUGAGUGGAAACUGCGAGUGUAGAGGUGAAAAUUCGUAGAUAUUCGCAAAGAACACCAGUGGCGAAGGCGGCUCACUGGCCCGAUACUGACGCUGAGGCACGAAAAGCGUGGGGGAGCAAACAGGG
rnacentral:rRNA from 1 species